rnacentral:rRNA from 1 species
GACGAACGCUGGAGGCGUGCUUAACACAUGCAAGUCGAACGGAAAGGCCCUGCUUUUGUGGGGUGCUCGAGUGGCGAACGGGUGAGUAACACGUGAGUAACCUGCCCUUGACUUUGGGAUAACUUCAGGAAACUGGGGCUAAUACCGGAUAGGAGCUCCUGCUGCAUGGUGGGGGUUGGAAAGUUUCGGCGGUUGGGGAUGGACUCGCGGCUUAUCAGCUUGUUGGUGGGGUAGUGGCUUACCAAGGCUUUGACGGGUAGCCGGCCUGAGAGGGUAACCGGCCACAUUGGGACUGAGAUACGGCCCAGACUGCUACGGGAGGCAGCAGUGGGGAAUAUUGCACAAUGGGCGGAAGCCUGAUGCAGCAACGCCGCGUGCGGGAUGACGGCCUUCGGGUUGUAAACCGCUGUCGCCUGUGACGAAGCGUGAGUGACGGUAAUGGGUAAAGAAGCACCGGCUAACUACGUG